CGUAGGGUGCGAGCGUUGUCCGGAAUUAUUGGGCGUAAAGAGCUCGUAGGCGGUUGUCGCGUCGGCCGUGAAACCUGCCGCUUAACGGUGGCGUGCGGUCGAUACGGGCAGACUUUGAGUUCGGUAGGGAGACUGGAAUUCCUGGUGUAGCGGUGAAAUGCGCAGAUAUCAGGAGGAACACCGGUGGCGAAAGGCGGGUCUCUGGGCCGAUACUGACGCUGAGGAGCGAAAGCGUGGGGAGCGAACAGGAUU
rnacentral:rRNA from 1 species